rnacentral:pre_miRNA from 1 species
AAUAGAUGACGCCGUUAACUUUUUCUCACAUGUUUGACUAUUCGUCUUAUUAAAAAAAUUUACGUAAUUAUAAUUUAUUUUGUUAUGAGUUGUUUUAUCACUCAUAGUACUUUAAGCGUGAUUUAUAUCAUAUACAUUUGCAUAAAAUUUUUGAAUAAGGCGAAUGGUCAAACAUAUGAGAAAAAGUUAACGGCGUCAUCUAUU